rnacentral:rRNA from 1 species
CCUACGGGAGGCAGCAGUCGAGAAUCAUUCACAAUGGGGGAAACCCUGAUGGGGCGACGCCGCGUGGGGGAAUGAAGGUCUUCGGAUUGUAAACCCCUGUCAUGUGGGAGCAAAUUAAAAAGAUAGUACCACAAGAGGAAGAGACGGCUAACUCUGUGCCAGCAGCCGCGGUAAUACAGAGGUCUCAAGCGUUGUUCGGAAUCACUGGGCGGAAAGCGUUCGUAGGCUGUUUCGUAAGUCGUGUGUGAAAGGCGCGGGCUCAACCCGCGGACGGCACAUGAUACUGCGAGACUAGAGUAAUGGAGGGGGAACCGGAAUUCUCGGUGUAGCAGUGAAAUGCGUAGAUAUCGAGAGGAACACUCGUGGCGAAGGCGGGUUCCUGGACAUUAACUGACGCUGAGGCACGAAGGCCAGGGGAGCGAAAGGGAUUAGAUACCCGUGUAGUC